AAAUGAUGGUUGGGGUGCCCGAAGAGAAAUUCGGGCUGAGAUUAUACCCACUGAACCUGAUCCGGGUAAUGCCGGCGCUAGGGAACCAUGUGUACGAAAGA
rnacentral:ncRNA from 2 species